rnacentral:rRNA from 1 species
AGCAGCCGCGGUAAUUCCAGCUCCAAUAGCGUAUAUUAAAGUUGUUGCAGUUAAAAAGCUCGUAGUUGAAUUUCGGGACCAUCAUGUCGGUCGUGCCUCGGUACGUACUGGCAUUGUUGGUUUCUCCCUUCUGACGAACCAUGAUGUCAUUUAUUUGGUGUUGUGGGGAAUCAGGACUGUUACUUUGAAAAAAUUAGAGUGUUUAAAGCAGGCUAACGCCUGAAUACAUUAGCAUGGAAUAAUGGAAUAGGACGUUCGAUCCUAUUUUGUUGGUUUCUAGGAUUGACGUAAUGAUUAAUAGGGAUAGUUGGGGGCAUUAGUAUUCAAUUGUCAGAGGUGAAAUUCUUGGAUUUAUUGAAGACUAACUACUGCGAAAGCAUUUGCCAAGGAUGUUUUCAUUAAUCAAGAACGAAAGUUAGGGGAUCAAAGACGAUUAAGUACGUCGUAGUCCUAACCAUAAACUAUACCGACUAGGAAUCAGACGAUGUUAAUUUUUUAAUGACUCGUUUGGUACCUUACGGGAAACCAAAGUGUUUGGGUU